GAACAAGCUACUAAGAGCACAUAGUGGAUGCCUUGGUGCCAACAGGCGAUGAAGGACGCGAUAAGCUGCGAUAAGCCUCGGAUAGCGGCAAAUACGCUUUGACCCGGGGAUUUCCGAAUGGGGUAACCUGGCCGGGGUAAUGCCCGGCCGUCCCUUCCUGAAUACAUAGGGAAGGGUUCGCAAUACCCGCUGAAGUGAAACAUCUCAGUAAGCGGAGGAAAAGAAAGAGAAUCGAUUCCGUAAGUAGUGGCGAGCGAAAGCGGAAGAGCCCAAACCGGGGCCUUUGGUCCCGGGGUUGUAGGGCCCCGAUGUGGGACUUUGGAGGUUAGGUCAAACGCAUGGAAAGGCGUUCCAGAGAGGGUGACAGGCCCGUGACCGAAAACCGAAGAAGCCCUAGGGUGUCCCUGAGUAACACAGCACACGUGAAACGUUGUGUGAAUCCGCGCCGACCACGGCGUAAGGCUAAAUACUAGUUGGCGACCGAUAGUGAACCAGUACCGCGAGGGAAAGGUGAAAAGUACCCCUGUGAGGGGAGUGAAAUAGAACCUGAAACUAUGUGCUUACAAGGAGUCAGAGCCGGCUUCUGCCGGUGAUGGCGUGCCUUUUGCUUAAUGAGUCUACGAGUUACUCUCUGUGGCAAGCUUAAGUCCUUCUGGGACGCAGGCAGAGCGAAAGCGAGUCCGAAUAGGGCGUUAAGUUGCAGGGGGUAGACCCGAAGCGGAGGUGACCUACCCAUGGCCAGGAUGAAGCGUGAGUAAGAUCACGUGGAGGUCCGAACCGGUGGCCGUUGAAAAGGCUUCGGAUGAGCUGUGGGUAGGAGUGAAAGGCUAAUCAAACCCCGUGAUAGCUGGUUCUCCUCGAAAUGCAUUUAGGUGCAGCGUCGCGUGCUGACCGCCGGGGGUAGAGCACUGAAUGAGCUAGGGCCCACACCCGGGUACCAACCUCAAUCAAACUACGAAUACCGGUGGGUGAAACGCGGCAGUGAGUCGGCGGGGGAUAAGCUUCGUCGUCGAGAGGGAAACAACCCAGAUCAGCAGCUAAGGUGCCCAAAUACCGCUCAGUGGAAAGGAUGUGAAUCUACUUUGACAGUGAGGAUGUUGGCUUAGAAGCAGCCACCAUUUAAAAAGUGCGUAAUAGCUUACUCAUCGAGUGGAUUUGCGCCGAAAAUGAUUGGCGAUAAGCGGUAUACCGAAGCUCUGGGCGCGCAAGCGCGGUAGAGGAGCGUUCCCGGUGCAUUGAAGCUGGAUGGUGACUGAAAGUGGAGUGCCGGGAAGUGAGUAUGUAGACAUGAGUAACGCUAAGGCAGGUGAAAUUCCUGCCCGCCGCAAACCCAAGGUUUCCUGGGCAACGUUUUUCGUCCCAGGGUUAGCCGGGUCCUAAGCCGAGGCCGAUGGGCGUAGGCGAUGGCAAGCAGGUUAAUAUUCCUGCGCCUCCGAAGGGAUUGGGGACGCAUCCGCCAAUGGAUAAUGGCGACUGGAAGUGCCAGAGGGGAGGCCACGGCCGAACCGACCUUCCUGCAGCGGGUGCCAAGAAAAGCCAGCCCGAAUAAAGGAGCCCGUACCCUAAACCGACACAGGUGGGUGAGAUGAGUAUUCUAAGGCGAAAGAGUGAACCCUCGUUAAGGAACUCUGCAAAUUAGCCCCGUAACUUCGGAAGAAGGGGUGCCCGCAAGGGCCGCAGUGAAAUGGGUCAACCGACUGUUUAGCAAAAACACAGCAUUCUGCCAACUCGUAAGAGGAAGUAUAGGAUGUGACACGUGACCAAUGCCAUAAGAUUAAGGGGAGAGGUUAGCGCAAGCGAAGCUUUGAUCCUAAGUCCUGGUGAAUGUCGGCCGUAACUAUAACGGUCCUAAGGUAGCGAAAUUCCUUGUCGGGUAAGUUCCGACCUGCACGAAUCGUGUAACGAGUUGACCGCUGUCUCAACGAGGCGCUCAGUGAAGUUGUAACGCCGGUGAAGAUGCCGGCUACCCGCAGAAGGACGGAAAGACCCUAUGAACCUUAACUGUAAGCUAUUACUGGUUUUUCGAUUUCAAUGCUCAGCGUAAGUGGGAGACUUCGAAGCGGCCCUCCAGGGGGUUGCUGAGUCGCCAAUGAGACACCACCCUUUGGUGUUGGGAGAUCUAACCCCUAGCCGUGAUCCGGCAGGGGGACACUGGUAGCCGGUCAGUUUUACUGGGGCGGUAUCCUCCCAAAAGGUAACGGAGGAGCGCGAUGGUGGGCUCAGCGUGGUUGGCAAUCACGUGUCGAGUGUAUAGGCAUAAGCCCGCCUAACUGUGAGACCUACAAGUCGAGCAGAUACGAAAGUAGGCCUAAGUGAUCCGGUAGUAGAAUGUGGAAUUGCUAUCGCUCAACGGAUAAAAGGUACUCUAGGGAUAACAGGCUGAUCGCGCCCAAGAGUUCAUAUCGACGGCGCGGUUUGGCACCUCGAUGUCGGCUCGUCACAUCCUGGGGCUGGAGAAGGUCCCAAGGGUCCGGCUGUUCGCCGGUUAAAGUGGCACGCGAGCUGGGUUCAGAACGUCGCGAGACAGUUCGGUCCUCUAUCCUCUGUGGGCGUAGGAAAAUUGAGGGGUUCAGACCUUAGUACGAGAGGACCGGGUCUGACGCACCUCUGGUGCUCCUGUUGUCCUGCCAAGGGCAUCGCAGGGUAGCUAAGUGCGGUCUGGAUAAGCGCUGAAAGCAUCUAAGUGCCAAGCCAUUCCCAAGAUGAAUUUUCCCUGAAGGAUCGUGGAAGACGACCACGUUGAUAGGCUGAGGGUGGAAGUGUGGCAACAUGCGCAGCCCAUCAGUACUAAUCAUCCGUUCGGCUUGUUCCA
rnacentral:rRNA from 1 species